rnacentral:rRNA from 1 species
GACGAACCGUGCGAACGUUGUUCGGAAUCACUGGGCUUAAAGGGCGCGUAGGCGGGCUGUCAAGUCUGGGGUGAAAUCCCGCGGCUCAACCGUGGAACUGCCUCGGAUACUGACGGCCUCGAGGGAGGUAGGGGCAUGCGGAACUGUAGGUGGAGCGGUGAAAUGCGUUGAUAUCUACAGGAACUCCGGUGGCGAAAGCGGCGUGCUGGACCUCUUCUGACGCUGAGGCGCGAAAGCUAGGGGAGCAAAC